rnacentral:rRNA from 1 species
CCUACGGGAGGCAGCAGUGAGGAAUAUUGGUCAAUGGACGAGAGCCUGAACCAGCCAAGUAGCGUGAAGGAUGACUGCCCUAUGGGUUGUAAACUUCUUUUAUAUGGGAAUAAAAUGUUCCACGUGUGGGAUUUUGUAUGUACCAUAUGAAUAAGGAUCGGCUAACUACGUGCCAGCAGCCGCGGUAAUACGGUGGAUCCGAGCGUUAUCCGGAUUUAUUGGGUUUAACGGGUGCGUAGGUGGAUUGUUAAGUCAGUUGUGAAAGUUUGCGGCUCAACCGUAAAAUUGCAGUUGAAACUGGCAGUCUUGAGUACAGUAGAGGUGGGCGGAAUUCGUGGUGUAGCGGUGAAAUGCUUAGAUAUCACGAAGAACUCCGAUUGCGAAGGCAGCUCACUGGACUGCAACUGACACUGAGGCUCGAAAGUGUGGGUAUCAAACAGGAUUAGAUACCCGUGUAGUC